rfam:Erythranthe guttata cultivar DTN x IM62 scaffold_160_contig_10, whole genome shotgun sequence.
AGGCAGUGAUGUCAUAAUUAUUGCCAUCAAACUUUGAAAGCCUUAUUAAUGGGGCUUGUUGAUGCAAACAAAACAUAAUUCCUGAGCCU